AAAAAAAAAAAAAAAAAAAGAUUCAAUAAGAUAGUGGGGAAGGGAUAAUAAAAAGUGUUAGAGCUAGAAAUAUGAAAAGUAAAUAAGAGGUCCUUAGUGGUUGAGUCUUAAGAAAAGAAUGUUGUUCAUUGGGUGAGUGAUGUGAGUGUUUUUCAUUUUGGUUUAUGGGAUGAAUGAAAAGGGUGUAGAAUUUGUAAUCACUUAGGAAUGGGGUAGAAUGAUGAGGAUGGAUCCAUGUAUGCAUGAAUUGCUCCUAGUCUUAGACAAAUUUUGCAUAAUGAUCAAGCUCCUUGAUUCUUGAGUUUUUGCCACCUUAAAAUGAUUGCAUUGAACCCUCCUCUUCAUCUAUAUUAGACCAUUUGAUCACCUAGCCAAAUGAUUGAUAUCAUGCGCCCAUCUGUGAGAGUUCACCUUGUGU
rnacentral:lncRNA from 1 species